AACAACCUGGCUCCAGAGACAAUUAACAAAGGCUGGAGACCAGCCAUCCCUUCGCGGCGCGCGCACGCACGCAAACAGCAGCGUGGGCACAGCCGUGCCCGCCCGUGCCCCCGGUGGGCACAGCCGCUCCGAGCGGCGCGGGUGCGGGGAGCGUGGUUACCGGCUCGGUGCUUGAGCGCCCGCAGGCACCUUGCGCACGCGGGUGAGUCCGCCUGGCGAUUGGGGCCUGGUCAGGCAGGAUGGGGCCCGGGAGGGGUGCAGAAAACAGCUGCUGGGAGGAUCAGAAAAGAACCUGCUGACAUGGCCAACCAUGGAGCCGACGAGCCAUCCUCCAGGUCAGGGAGUCCGGACGGGGAAGACAGGGCCUCUGAGGACAGAUCACUGCUUCAUCAGAGGCUGGCUGUCCAGGAGCUCAUCGACACCGAGGUCUCCUACUUGCACAUGCUCCAUCUCUGUGCCUCUGACAUCAGGAGCCGCCUCCAGCAGUUGCCGCAGGGAGAUCUCGAUGUCCUGUUCUCCAACAUUGAUGAUAUCAUCAAGGUGAACAGCAGAUUCCUUCAUGAUCUGCAGGAGACAGCCUCCAAGAAAGAAGAACAAGUGCAGCUAGUUGGUAACUUAUUUCUGGAAUUCCAAGAGGAGUUGGAGCAAGUCUAUAAGAUCUACUGUGCCAGCUAUGACCAGGCCUUGCUAUUGGUGGAGACGUACCGGAAGGAGCCGGAGCUGCAGCAGCAUAUCCAGGGCAUCAUUAAGGCAGUGGUGCCACAAGCUGGAUCUUCAGGCCUCAGUUUCUUGCUGGUAAUUCCUCUGCAGAGGAUCACCAGGUACCCAUUGCUGCUGCAGAAAAUCCUGGAGAACACACACCCUGAUGCCAGCGCCUACCCUGUCCUUCAGAGGGCUGUCUCUGCCCUCCAGGAUGUGAACACCAAUAUCAAUGAGUACAAGAUGCGCAAGGAAGUGGCCUCCAAGUACACCAAGGUAGAGCAGCUGACCCUCCGGGAGCGGCUGGCCCGCAUCAACACACACACCCUCUCCAAGAAGACCACCCGGCUGAGCCAGCUGCUGAAGCAGGAGGCGGGGCUGAUCCCCAGGACAGAAGACAAGGAAUUUGAUGAUUUAGAAGAGAGGUUCCAAUGGGUGUCUCUGUGUGUGACUGAGCUGAAGAACAACGUGGCUGCUUACCUGGACAACCUGCAGGCUUUCCUCUGCUUCAGGCCGCACGAAUACAAUCUGGACAUCCCCGAGGGGCCUGCAGUGCAGUACUGCAAUUUGGCAAGAGACCUUCAGCUGGAGGCCUUCCUGGAGUUUAAGCAGCGGCUGGAAGGCCUGGUGUGGCAGCCACUGUGCAGCCUGGCCAAAGCCCUGCUCGGCCCUCAGAACCUGAUCAAGAAGCGUCUGGACAAGCUACUGGACUUUGAGCGGGUAGAAGAGAAGCUGCUGGAGGUGGGCAGUGUGACCUAUGAGGAGCAGGCCACCCGGCACACGUACCAGGCACUCAACUCCCUGCUGGUGGCUGAGCUACCACAGUUUAACCAGCUGGCCAUGCAGUGGCUGGGCCAGAUCCUGUGCACAUUCGUGACCCUCCAGAGGGACCUUGCAAAGCAAGUGCUGCAGAGGGCAGAGGGGAGCAUGGCCCAGCUGCCCCACCACGAUGUCCCAGAGCCUGCCUUCAGGAAGCUGGUGGGGGACACACUGGGCCGGACGAGUAAGCAGCUUCACUCCUUUCAAGAGAACUUUGAGAAAGUGCUGCCACCUCCCACCACACAGCUGCUCCUUCCAGGGUCUGAACGCCAGGUGCGGGCUCUCCUGAGCAGGUAUGGCCCUGGGAAGCUGUACCAGGUGAUGAGCAACAUCAAUGGGACUGGGACACUGGACCUGACUCUGCUGCGGGGCCAAAUCGUGGCCCUUCUUCAAAACAAGGACACCAAAGGCAACAGCGGCCGCUGGCUGGUGGACACAGGGGGACAUCGUGGGUAUGUGCCAGCUGGGAAACUGCAGCUGUACCAUGUGGUCCCCAGCGCAGAGGAGCUCAGAAGGCAGGCAGGGCUGAAUGAAGUCCCCCGAUGUCUAACACCAGAGCCUGUUCGAGCUCCAGUGCCCUCUAUUCCCACCGUGAACCAGGUCAUAGCAGCGUACCCUUUUGUGGCCAGAAGCAGCCAUGAAGUGAGUCUGCAGGCAGGCCAGCCCGUGACCGUCCUGGAGGCCCAGGACAAGAAGGGGAACCCGGAAUGGAGCCUGGUGGAAGUGAAUGGACGGAGGGGUUAUGUGCCUUCUGGCUUCCUGGCCAGGACCCCAAGCCCAGUUUUGUGGGGCUGGAACCUGCCCUCUUAGGGUACCCUCCUUGGAGCCCACAUUGCCAAGUGAUGGGGGAGGCUUAGAGGCGGUGACCCUGGAGGGAGAAGCAGCAAAGGAAAGGUGGGGGUGGGAGGGAAGACCAGGCCAGGGUGGGUGAAGGGCACUCAGGAGGCCGCCAGAAGACUGCCUAAGCAGUGAGCUCUGGUUUUUGAAGGGCUUUUAAGAAAUAUAUACAUGUCUGUGUCAGACAGACUGUGAGUUGCCUCCUCUGGGCCUGUCAAAGCAUGAAGACUGUGUAAUAUCAGAGAAACACAGCCCCUACAGUUCCUUUCUCAGUAGCAAAGUCACUUCAUAGGAUGCUCUUGACUCAUUCUCUCUACUCUUUCCUGCUCAGAUUUCUGAUAAAAAUAAGAAACAUAGGGGAACAGAUAAUGAAGUAGGAAACCCACUCGUGGGUUCCACAGAUAUUUACUGAGGGCCUACUGUGUGCUAGAAUUGUAGCUCAGGGGUGCUCAGUGUAGCUGCUCAGUGAACUUACCAUGGCAGCUUUCAACUAGCAGAAGCCAGGCUCCCUGUCACCCAGAGAUUCUGUUGAAAUUGGUUUAGAGUGUGGUUCAGGCCUCAGGAAAUUAGAAAGCUUCCCAGGGCCUUCUAAUAUGCAGCCAGGGCUGGGGACCUCUACCCUAGACACACAGUAUUGGACAGAUGGAUCUGGGGCCAGAGAUGGCCAUGAGCUAUAAGCUAGGAUGUGCCCCAACUCAGCUCUGCAUUAGUUAGUUCAAACAGGCGCUUUAGAGGCAGUGUGAAAUGGGACAGCCUGUCUGUCAGGUCUCAGAAUGUAUAUUUAUUAAGUGCCAUUAAAAGGGACCUGAACAGAAUUGGAUGUCUUGUAGGCAUAAGGAAGGAAAAUAAAAUAUACUUGGAACCAAGGCUAUCUCAUGAAGGAACAAUAAAAACGUAUUGAGUAGCAUGUGGGUUCUGGUUUCUCGUAGAUCAGGGGAUGAGAUUAAAAGUCAGUGAUGAGUGGGAAAUGCAUAUUGAGAAGAUGGAGAAUGGCCUGCAGUUGCUCCAGGGGAAUUUGUAACAUGCCUUUUCCCUCUCCAAAUGCCUAGAACCAGGGCACUGUGUCUUAUUUAUUUCACUGUUGGGGUAUC